UUUGCCGAAUGACCCUUCCUCAUAGACGUAUUUACGUCAAAAAAUCAAGCUUCAAGUCUGUGCUUAAAGUACCAAGAGACGAAGUACAAUACGUGAAUACGAAUUGUUAGGAAAGUUAAUAAAUUGACAGAAAAAACAGUGGCGUAAUUUACGGAUGCCUUCGUGAAAUAACAUCUAGGACUAAGCACAUGCUUCAAAUUAUGCAGAAUAUUGGUUAAACCAGCUGUAGAAUGCAGAAGUGGUGGAUAUGAAGUGAAAUGAAGCCAGCACUCUUAUACGAAUACAGCUUAUAUAAUUAGACAAAAAGCAAAUGCAUAAUGAUAAGCGAGCGAGACUUAAGGUUGAUACUACUGAAAAAUUACUGGGUAUAUAAAAUUAUAAAAAGCGUAUCGAAUUGAAUGCAUACAUAAAAAGGUCAAAGACGACAUUCUUCAUUAUAAAUACAGAGCGAAGAAAACGAAGCAGAUGAUGGGAAGAGCAUUUUAUGGCCGGGGCAUGCAGCAGCAACUUGAAACGUUGGAACCAUUUCAGUAUUUGCUCUAAGACAGAGGAAGACCAAGAAACCGUGUAUUGAGAUGGCGGUUCGCAGGACUUUCCGGACGUAUAUUGACUACCAGCUUGCAGUCCGGCAAACAGAAGAAUGCAGUAGCUCGUAAGGUUUCCCUAACACGUGUGCCAAGCUACUGUAAACUACCAGGACAUGCAAGCAGCUGUCGCUAUCUUCCAGUCGAAUAAACAUGGAAGUGACGUUAAAAUUUCGCUCCGAAGUCCACAAAAGUAACGCUAUAUAUAUAGUAGCUUAGAUCUUCACGUGGCGUGAGGCUGCUUCUGGUUCAUCAAAGUACAGAGUUCUCUCGGUUUCAGAUGUUCAAUGAACCGCAAACUCAAUAUCUUAUAUGAACGACUCAUUUAUGAGUUCUCCUGUUAAAUUUGAAGACUUAAACAAAUCCAAUGAAGGAUCAUAUCAAAACACUAGCAUUAAGCGUCGUUACUAACACACAGUUUCACGAAGGACGCUAACAGGAUUAUCGCAAGAGACAAAUUGCAUUAGCUACAGGAGAAAGACCCAUAAUCCUUUGCGUGUGUUAUGUAGCAGAAAUGAAUAUCGAACGUUGUCAAUCUAAUUUAAACAACAAGAAAAUAUAUUCCAAUAGUCUCUUUCUCAUUUACUGCUGAUAAAAGUUAUCUAUGUAACCAAUUAAAAUUAACCUCGUUUUCAUAUCUUAUUUUAUACAUUAUAUCGCUGAUUUAAGUCUUACAUGAGAAAUAUCUCUGAAAAGAACAGAAAGGAGAUAACAGGAAAGUAGUAACAAUUACGCAACUAGGACCUUCAAAUGUUUUCUACAACACAUAUUACUAGAAUAAUAGAAAUAAAGGAUAAUAAAAUUGGCAGGACAUGUAGAAUGUAAAUGUCAGAUGAGAAAUAUA